ACUGUUUGGAGAAGUCGUGGAACCUUUAGGAGGUAAAGUGUAGCUGGAGGGAGCAGAUUGCGAGGCGGACCAGAUCUUGAGGUUUAUAAACUGGCUCUGCUCCAGUUCCCGAUCUUCCUGGGUGCAAGCGAGCAGCCUCAGGCUCCCAGGCUGUAACAGAGAGCCACCUUCAUCUGCUACAUGAAAUACUUUACCCAAGGCAAGUUAUAGAAAUAAUGGUUGGGGGGAGGGGUGAUGGUUGCAUAGGGCUGAAGUCCGAAGUGGCAGGGAAAGCCUGGCUGUAAGGAGCAGACAUGGUGGCUGUGAACAGAAGCUGAGGGUUCAGAUCUCAAACUACAAGCAGAAAGCGGAGAGAGUGAACUCCAAAUGCUGCCUGUAAACGCUCGGUGGCAGGCUUCCUCCAACAAGGCCACAGCCCAUUCAAAUGGCAUUGCUAACUGGGACCAACGACUUACAUGUCUGAGCCCAUGAGGGACAUCCUCAUCCAAACCACCACAGACCGUAUCUUCAAACUGGGAACCCGAUUGCUGGACCGACUCGGACCCCACCAGUGGUUUAAAUAACGACACGGAGACUUCCACUGUAGUUUAAAACUUAGACCUUUUGCUGGGGUGGUCUUCCGUCUACUGUUUAUACUUAACCCAAGUAGCCUGCAACCCACUACGUGACUAGCUCUGUAGCUCCCUGCUCCGCUCCGCUCUGUGUACAUUCCCUUUCACGUCUGCUUCUAAACCUCCUGCUUCUCUGGCCUCCCCUGCAUCGUGCUCCCUGACUGAAGUUCCGCCCUCAUACUUCCUGAGCAAGAUAUUGGCUGUCGGAUCUUUGUUACAACGAAUUAGCAGUGAGACAGCACCUGCUACUUCUCUUAGAUUGCCAUUAGGCAAGCGAGGAAGGGUGAGCAUUUACAAAAUAGAACACUUGGGCCACAGCACCAAAAUCCUGCCAGCACUCAGCUCUCUGUGGGUACAGAACCAACGAUUGAAAAUACAGAGAUACGCCUUAAUACAAUGUAAGGAAUUUCACCCCAACAGAGCCCAAAUAAUCCCUCUUCCCUUAAAUGCUUAUCGUGUUUUGUCACAGCAACAGAAAAGUAAAUGCAUUGGGUGGAUCUACUUAGAGCCUGUUUGGGAAAGAGAAGCAGAGGGACUCUGUUGGAACCUUUUUCUUACUAGACCUUCUGGGGCUCCAGGGCUAGAAGGGGAUGGAUAGGAUAGGGCGAAUGCCCUGCAGAGAGAUCACAGGAGCUUUGUAAAUUGUGGGGACCCAUGUAAAGACCCUCUCUGGAAGGCCAUAUGGGGCUUGAGAUUAGAGAAGGGGCUCUGUUGGCUUCUCAGAAUCAUUACUAAAAUAGAGUAAUAAUUCUCUUAAGGAUGUGAAAUUCAAAGCAAGGCACCUGUGGUAAUGAUAGCAGACACCAAUGGCUAACACUGAAUUGUUUGCUAUAUUCUGGGUGCCUGUCCUAGUUAUCUGUAACUAUUAACUGGAGCCUACAAUAUCUGAGAAGGGGGGGUCUUAGGACUUACGCAGAUCGUAUUGGCUGUGGGCAUGUCUGUAGGGGACUGUGUUAAGUAUUAAUUCAUGUGAAAGGGUUGAGUCCUCUGUGGGCAGCACCAUUCCCUGGGCUAUGUAAGAAAGCUAGCUAAGCAUGAGACUGGGAUGGAGAAAAUAAAAAGUGUUCCUCUAUGGUUUCUACUUCAGGUUCCUGCUUCAGUCCCUGCCCUGAUACCCUCAGUGAUAGACUAUGACCCAGGAACUGAAACUGAAGAGGGGACCCUUUCCCCUCUCUGCUGGCUAGUCUUGUGACAACUUGGCGCACAAGCUAGAGUCAUCUGAAAGAAGGGACUCUCAAUCGAGGAAAUGCCUCCAUAGGUUCAGUUGAAGGACUUUUUCUUAAUUAGUGAUUGAUGGGGGAGGGCUCAGUCCACUGUGGGUGGUGCCAUCCCUAUGCUGGUGCUUUCUGUCAGAAAGCAGGCUGAGCAAGCCACGGGGAGCAAUCCAGCAGGCAGCACCCCUCCAUGGCGUCUACAUCAGCUCCUGCCUCCAGGUUCCAGCCCCGCUGGGUUCCUGUCUUGACUUCUUUUAGAGGAUGAAGAGCGAUCUAUGGAAGCGUGAGUUAAAUAAACCCUUUCUUCCCCAACUUGCUCUUUGGUCAUGGUGUUUUAUCACAGCAAUAGCAACACUGACAAAGACAUCUCUAAGUUGCUUUGGUUCAGAGCGUUUUGUUACAGCAACAGUAACAUUUGAAAUCCUGACCCGCAUUGGCUCAGGUCUAAACAGCAGCUCUCAGAAGCAGGAUGCCUGUCCCCAUCCUUUCGAAGAGGAGGGAACUGGUAUCAAGUACACGUCGGGGCUGCCACAGAGGCUCACUGUAAGUUCAAUGCUGAAGUCCUGGGGGUGAAAAAAAUGUAUUGCCAGAGCCCAGUGUGCUAUAGGUAUGUGAUGCAGUUUUAUCGUCAGGUCGAUGCUGUACAGCCCAGGUUAGAGCUGAGCUGUGCCAGCUACAGAGCACGCAAGGCUCAUGAAAUAAUGGUGAGAAGUAGACGUACUGAAAUAACAAGGUGAGGUCUGUGAAGACACAGAGCCCUGUGGGAAAAGGCAAUGUUAAAGACCACCCAGGUGAAACAAAAGUUAAUUUUAGAUCAUUGGAACUCAAAGUCUGGUCUGUGCAUGGGCAGCCUUUGGGAGUUGGUUAAGAGAUGUAGGUUGCGGGAUGGCUUGAUUGGUGAAGCAAGAUGGUUUGAGAUCCCGAGUCUGAUCCUCAGAUCCACGUAAAACAGCUGGUUUGGUGGUGAUGCUUGUAAUUCCAACCCUGGAGAGGGAGGCAGACAGGUGGACCUCUGGCAUUUUCUAGCCAGCCUGCUGAAUCAGCAAGUUCCCUGAGAGACUGCUGUCCCCAGAGAAGGCGAACGGUGCCAGAGACGCCCAGUGCCACAUUUCAGAACGUUAGAGAUGGCGCCUCUCCAGAAUCCUUGAAUUGGGAUCUCCAUUUCCACAGGGUUCCAGUGAGCCCUGCGAAUUAAAGCCAGGCUAAGAUGCGAAUAGAAGCUCUGAAACAUUCCCUUCAGAUUCAACACUGUUCGCUACCUGGGAGUCAGUUAGUGUGUGUGAGUAGCACAGUGGGUGUCCGCCUGCUGCCACCAGAGUGCACAUGCCUGCUGCAGGACAGGUAGGGACGCCGACGGGGAAGGGAAGUGAAACCUUUUAUGAUCUAAUGACUCUGGGAGUCACCACCACCAACAAAAACAAUAGCAAAAGCCAGCAAUUUACUUGCUCGUCCCCUUAAAAAGCAUUAAAAUAUGCAAAGCGAGUGUGGCCAUCAGUCUCUCCCAGAGCAUCCAGGAUCUGGCUGUUUACAGAGGUGAAUUCCCAGGUGGUACUCACAGAAGCUCCAAAUUGGACAUCAGCAUAUUUAUGACCCCUUUGGUAUCUUCCUCGGGACUGGGAAGGACCUGGGGGCCCCCUCUCCAGCUGUCCUGGUAGUUGCUUAAUCUAGUUGGCAAUCAGCACACAAAGCAGACAGGGGAAUCACUCUGCUAGCAAGCCCCCUGCCCUCCCGUCUGGAGAAGAAUGCGGGCUGACAGGGACACAAUUAAAAGGGGAUUGAUUUAUUGAGCUGGAAUGCCCUGACAGCCCCCAACCCUCCUAAUCUCAGCAUCUCUCUGCCUCGUGCAAUCACCAUUUCCAAACAAGAGUCAGCCUACAGGAUCGUCAGGCAGCCAAAGACAUUCCUCCUUCACUGAAGGUAGCUUCGCCCCAGGAGCCCAUAAAGCAAAAACCACAUAAAAGAAGUCCUGUCCUGCAUGAGGGCCUGGAUAAGGAUCUGGAAUUCAGCAGGGAGGGACAUCUAAACCCAGAGAGCAGGCAGCGGUAAUGGAAACCUGCUAACCUUGGCUUAGAGGAGUUGGGGGUGGGAGACGAAGGGGUUAAGAAGAAGUCGUGGGCAGAGAGCCCUCCUUCUGUCUUUUAUGUGAUGAAACUGUAAAUUUCUGUUCGAAAUCAAGGCUUUGGAAUGUUGGUGAGGGGGUGUGGGUGGUGAUGGGGGAGGGGGGCUGGUGGAAUUCCAGGGGAGAAAGAAGUCCCUGGAUUUGAAAUUAGUUCUCCCUUUGAACUGUUUCAUCAAACCCAGGAGCUAGAGGUCUCACGCCCGAACACAAGUGGAAUCAUUUCUAAUUGUUGGGCUUUGAGGGGGCUGGCCACUUCUCUUCCUAUCAGAAACCCUAGCCUUUGCUACUGGGAUGCUGGGAAUCUCAGUGAUGCUGGGAAUAAUGGCUGCCCUUUGUGGCUGCUGGAUUUCUUGGUCCAUAGCUCCCAACCUUGUAAGAUGACUGAGCUCACUUUCAGCCAGGAGAGGUCCAGGGAGAGUUGCUGUGAGGAAGGGCAAAGACAAAGGCCUUGUGGGCAAACUGGCUGCACCCAAGGGAAACAGAAAGACACUGAGAUGCGGGUACAUUUCCUCUCCAAACUUACCAGAAUAAAGUGGUCACUUCCUGUCCAGGGGUACACUGGACUGAGUGAGGGGCAUAGAAAAAGUGGAAAUGAACUGGGACCUCUCCCACACAGAAAGAGCCAUGAUUUAGGACGAAGGACUGUUCUUGAAAUUAGGGACAACUAAAACUUAGUAGUAAUGAUACAGAAUGAGAAAAAAAUUAAAAAAAAAAUGAGAUGAGUGCUCUUAGGUAUGAUGGAGAAGGCUUAUUGAAGGUGUGAGGAAAGCAAAGGCAGGGGAAACACAGAGGCAGAGACAGGGGCAGAGACAUCUAGAAGAGUCCAGAGUGAGCUGGGAUGAGUGAGUGGUGGGGGAUUGGAGAAAUCAGACAGUCACAGCCAAGUGGCUGGGUUACAUAGGGAGAGCCACAGGGGAAGGAGCAGCCCAGUUCCUAGGCUGAAUGUUUAGGGGAGAGGGGAGGGUAAGGAUGGGUACUGAGGGAUGCUGGGAGAACCUGGUGGCUAGGUCCACUUUGAUAUGUUAAAGAGGCAUCUCAUUUAGCCAUUUGUCUGGGAUUUGAGACCUAGCAGAGACUAAUAAUGAGGUCAGAGGUCACAAUUCCCUCAGUAUUACUCUGUUUUUAUUCUGGGACAGGAUUCCAUACCUCAUUAUUCUUUACAACUCAGGAAGAUCAUUUUUGUUGUUAUAUCUUUGCAGCAAAUGAGAAAACUGAGACAGAGAGGUUGUGUUACUUACCCAAGCACACACAGCUAGGAAGUGGUAGAGCAACUGUGCAAACUGAGCCUUGAUUCACCCUGAGGCCUGAAUUCUGCAGCAGACCCUUGAACCUAUGCAGUAUGGAAAUGAAUGAAUGAGGUAAGGGGGAAGUUAGUGUCUAGCAUGGCGAAACAUGGCUUUGAUAGUCACCUCAUCUGACUUUCCCUUUGAGGGCUGACCCUGAAAACUGCGUGUGUGUGUGUGUGUGUGUGUGUGUGUGUGUGUGUGUGUGUGUGUGUGGUGUGUGGUGUGUGUGGUGUGUAUAUUAUGUGUGUGUGUGGUAUGUGUAUAUUUGUGGUAUAUGUGUGUGGUGUGUAUGCUAUAUGUGUGAGUAUGGUGUGUGUGUGGGGUAUGUGUGUGUAUAUGGUGUGUGAGUGUGGUAUGUGUGUGUAUAUGGUGUGUGUGUGUGGUAUGUGUGUGUAUAUGGUGUGUGUGUAUAUGGUGUGUGUGUGGUAUAUGUGUGUGUAUAUGGUGUGUGUGUUGUGUGUGUGUAUGUGUGUGUGUGGUAUCUGUGUAUGUGUGGUGUAUAUAUGGUGUGUAUGGUGUGUGUGUGUGUGUGUGUGUGUGUGUGUGUGUGUGUGUGUGUGUGUAUGCAAACAGGUAUGGAGGCCAGAGGUCAAUCUGGGGUGCUGUUCAUCAAAAACCAUCUGUCUUGUUUGCUGAGACGGGGUAAUCUGGCUGUUCGUAAGCCUCAGUGGGGUUGUAACUGUGUUUUGUAUGUGCUUCUGGGGAUCAGUCUCAGUUUGCAUGAUACACACUUUGUCAAUUGACAUGUUUCCUGGUCCUGAGGUCUUGUCGCUAGAAUGUUCUACCUUGCUGGGCUAGGUCGUGACCCUGGGCUGAUCUCACCAUUGCACAUCAGGAUGUGUCAGAACAAGAAAGAGUGUCAGGCACCUGCUUGUCCAAGGAGCCACAGCUGAUUUUUUUUAUGGUCUGAGCCUGCAGUCUAGGUUUCUCCUAGGCCUAGAGGUUCUGGCUUGUCUAAGUCAAGAGACUGGGGGGUUCUGACCCCUCCCUUCCCCCAUCCAGGAAGAGCUGGACUCACUGUUGAAGAAGACAGUGACUGCCUAUGGGAUCUCCCGUUUCUGGUGGGAGAGUGUUUGUGCAGAGUCCUGGCCUCUUGGGCAUCUGAGUACCUCGUGCCUCACCAACCCUUCAUAGCAUUGAAAGUGUCAUGAGACACAACCCUGAGACCUCCCUUGUUCUCUAUGUCGUGUCCGUUGUUUGAAGCAACCUGAAUAUGGUGAUGGGGGUGGACCCUGCAGGAGACCUCCCUUCUCUAACCUCCUGCUUCACAGUGGUCCCCAGACCUCCGUGCCUCCCUCAUCCGGCCCCAUCUGUACACACCCCAAUCCCAAUCUGAUUUACCGCUCCUGAUUUCUGCUACUCCUGCCCCUCCCCCGUUUCCUUUCUCUUCCUCGGGCCCCCUUCCUUCACAUGUGGGCCUUCCUUCACCCCAGCUUUCUUCACAAAGCUGCAUUUAUUUUUCCUCUUUAUUUGACCCCACGUGACCUGGUUGGAUGCCGGAAGCAGCAUCUGGGGAAGGGGAACACAGGCUGCUUUUCUACAGAUAUUUUUUCUUUUUCCUUUGGCUGAGGCAGUUUCAACCAGUUUAUAAAGUUUAGUUGAAAGGUUAUACAUUUCCCACUUUAAACAUUUCUCAAUCCCCGUGAAUGAAAAUUUCCUGUCACCCACUCCCUUCGUUGGGUCCACAGCCCAUAGAAGGCUUCCAGAGAGAUGCCUGAUGAGGAGCGCCGCCUGCCCCAGAGCCUUCAUAGAGAAUGGAGAGUAUGCCCUGCUGUCCUUUUGUUGGCUUCUCUUUCGGAGAAGUGAAGUCAGGAUGCUUCUCAUGGUGCUUCAUGUGAGGAUGAGACCAAGGCAGUAUCUGUGAACGGGCUACAUGGACGAAAUCCUAUCAGGGUGAGGUCUGGAUGGAGUGAACACUACGGAAUAAAGGGGGGAGGGCAGAGUGAACUUGAGCUAUUAGCUGAGACCCGAAAUUUAAACUGGGCUGGGAAUCUCAGUAGAUCUUGGCUUGGUCACAUGGAGAGGCCCCUGUUUUGUUUUUGUUUCUUUAUCUGUUUAUAUACGUACGUGUGUGUGUGUGUGUGUUUGUGUGUGUGUACAUGUGUGUGUACGUGUGUCUGUGCUCUGUGUGUGUGUGCUGUGUGUGUGUGCUGUGUGUGUAUGUGUAUGUAUAUGUGUGUAUGUGUGUGUGUGGUGUGUGUAUGUGUGCUGUGUGUGUGCUCUGUGUGUGUGUAUGUGUUUAUGUGUGCUGUGUGUGUGUGUGGUGUGUGUGUGUGUACGUGUAUGUGUGCUCUGUGUGUGUGUGCUGUGUGUGUAUGUGUGUGUGUAUAUGUGUGUGUGUAUGUGUGUGUGUGUGCUCUGUGUGUGUGUAUGUGUGUAUGUGUGCUGUGUGCUCUGUGUGUGUGUGUGCUGUGUGUGUAUGUGUGUGUAUAUGUGUGUGUAUGUGUGUGUGUGUGCUCUGUGUGUGUGUAUGUGUGUAUGUGUGCUGUGUGCUCUGUGUGUGUGUGCUGUGUGUGUAUGUGUGUGUAUGUGUGUGUGUGGUGUGUGUGUGUGGUGUGUGUGUGUAUGUGUGUGUGUGGUGUGUGUAUGUGUGCUGUGUGCUGUGUGUGUGUGCUCUGUGUGUGUGUAUGUGUGCUGUGUGUGUGUGUGUGGUGUGUGUGUGUGGUGUGUGUAUGUGUGCUGUGUGCUGUGUGGUGUGUAUGUGUGCUGUGUGCUCUGUGUGUGUGUGCUGUGUGUGUGGUGUGUGUAUACUUCAUGCCUGUGUACUUAGUAUACCUUUAGUGGUUCCUCAGGUACCAUCCACCUUGCUGGAUUUUGAGACAGCGUCUCUCCCUGGCCUAGAGUCAUUAAGUAGCCUGGACUGCCUGUCCAGCAAGCUCCCGGGUCUCCCCUUCUCUACUUUCCUACUUUCCUAGUGCUUACAAAUGUAUGCUAUCAUGUUUGGCUUAUAUCUUUAUUUUUUUAUUUUCAGAGUGGGUUCUGGGGAUUCAAAUCAGCUCCUCGCACUUGUAAAGCAAAUACUUAACAGGUUGAGUCAUCUCCCCACGUCUCCACACCAAGAUCCAUUUUUUAAGCCUGUCUAAGGCUGUCUGGAGUGGAGCCCCACACAGACCCCAUACUCCAGCCAUGCUCAGACUGCCUGCUUAGGACUCACAGUGGCUGCUUCUCUGGCUGUUUGAUUCUGCGCAUUACAGUCCUUUGGCUUUGAAGACUGUAUGCCACGCCAACCUCUUCAGCUGACCCCUGCAAUCUGAGUCCAUCCUGUUUCAAAGUGGGCUCCAACACAGUGCCUGGAAACCGGAUCUAAAGUAGACUUCCCUGUCACACUGGUCAAAGGAUUUGCCCCAGCAGUGCCCCAACCCGUAUCUCUGCUCUCAUCCCUUCAAUGUGAGGUAAGAUCACACACACUGAGAAAAGCAAGAGAGAUGGUCCUGCCACCAGCUGGAUACUGGGCUGGGAUGGAUAGAUGACCUGCUGAGGUAUGCUGGGGAAGUUGAGAGGCAUGGGCUUGUGUCUAUUGACAGCACCAAGAUGGGAAGAAUACAGAAAUGGGAUGGGCGGGUGAAGAAGGAAGACAGACAACUUUGUCUGAAUGGAGUUGGUCUCAAGGUUCCGGAAAGACACAGGGGCUAGAGGUAGUGUUAUAGAGCUUGUACGUAAAGAAAGUAGGGGAAGGCAGAGAAGACUGCUGCUGUUCUUCCUGACCUGCUAUGGUUUUGGCUGUGAAAUCCUUCCCUCCCCCCAGUAUGUGUUCCCCAGCCACAGAUUCUGUUUUGGUAGGGGUUAUUGACCCGUCGUGUCAUGAAGACCAUAACCCAGCUCUGCUUCUGGUCUGGGCUUUGCUGCUUCCUGAUCCUUCCAAGCAACUACAAACGCCCGCUGUCAUGGAGCCCUGCUAGGAUGAACUGAAUCCUCCGAGCUGUGAACCAAUCGAAGACCUUCCUCCCUUAAGUAGCUUCUGUCAGAUACCUGGUCAUUGUGAUAGAAAUAGUCCAGAUGCUUAGUGGCAGACCUAUGUCACCCAUCAUGUAUAUCUCUCCUGCCUGGGUUGGAGACCAGUAGUUGAGAAGGGAUUCAAAGCAGAUGUACUAGGGGGAGGGGAGUUAAAAAGGAAGAGAUACAGUCUUCCCAAAUAUGUAGGCUUCCCCUAGCAGCCUCACUACUUCAUCUUGCCUUUUGGAUAUCAAAUCCUUUAGUCCCUUUCUCAUUAUAAAGUAUUGACCUUUGUUUCCUCAGUUUCUCUCCUACCUUCCUACACAACCCAACUUCUUUUGGGAUUCACUUAACCAAUGUUUAAGAGCCAAGAGCCUGUCUAGACAUUUCAGAAUGAUUCCCUUUGUUGGUUGUUAGUAGGGUGAGACACACAGUAAAACGUGAACGCAUUAGUGGGACAGAUUCAGCGAGUCCCGCCUACCCUGACAAGGGCUGGCAGACAUCCUACACUACACUCUGCUAGCUCUGUGGAUCCUGGUUCAGUAGCUCACCCUUUACCGAUAUCCACACACCUUUCGACUCCUGGACAGAGUGAUUGUGCUUGAGAUUUUUGGCUUGGCACCAAACACAGAUUUCAAGUCUUUUGACUUUGGACUUUGCCUGGUACAGGUUUCCACAUGCAGUCAACCAGAGGCGUUGCUUGUUGGUGUGUGAGACCCAGUGAAUCUUGACCUGAUAGCCUUGUUUCCCUUCUGUGCAGAUAAGAAGGUAUGAGGACUACAUAAAUGGAGAUGUGAGGCUAGGACGACACACCCUGUCCUCCACAGCAGGAGAGAGAUGGGUAGAAAAUUCAUUUAGUGUGAAGGAAUGAUGGGUUUGAGGGGACCCCCCCAAAAUAAAACAAGACCCAAAGCAA